AAGCAAGCAAAGAGAGGAAGAAAAAAAGCAAGAAAGUCAGAGAGAAACUUGGAGUAAAAGGUAGCACCACCGAUAAAAGUUCUACUUUUGGUUAUUGUUCCUUUAUUGGAAAAAAUUUAGUUCCAUGAUGAAGCAAAAGACAAAGUGUGUUAGCUAGAAGUAGCAUUGAAGCACACUUCAGGGCAUUUGAAUAAAAAGACUUUUGGAAGAAUUUAGAUUUAACCAAGUGACGCCUAUACAUGUCUAUUGUGACAAUAAGGUAGCCUUUUCCAUACCUCACAAUCUAAUCCUUCAUGAUAAGAUGAAAUAUAUCAAAAUUGAUCAAUAUUUUAUAAAGGAGAAGAUUGAUGUUGGAAUGAUUUGUACCUUUUAUCUCCCAAUCUUAGAGCAAAUUGUUAAAAUAUGGACAAAAAGACUCCCAAAAUUAAAAUUUGACAAGUUAAUUAGCAAGUUGGCAGUGGAAGGGAGAGUGUUGAUUUAUGCCUUAAUUAUAUGCUGUAAUUAUAUUGUGAUUAUUUUGGUAGGAUCUUUUCCUUUCCUGUUUUCAGGUCUUCAUUCUAUUUAAGAUUGACCUUUGUAUCUUGGUAAAGUAAGAAAGUUGAGGAAUAAAAUAAAUAUAUUUCCCAGUUUGCAGCAGUUUGUGAUACUGAUAACACCUUACAUGCAAAGGUGGCUGAUUAAUAAAAGGAUUAAGUGUUUUUGGUGGCCAAUUCUUGGGUGCACUGCAUCCUAUGAGCCCUAAGGUGCCUUGGUAUGUACUUUUUUGGUUUAGAGUAACAUUCUUUCACACUCGUCUAUCCCGUGGUUCGCUGUUUAAGAUAGGCUUUACACGCAGGCUCAACUACAUAGUUGGAAUACCUUAGUCUUGACAACUUGUUUUCUUUGCAGAUGAGCAGAUGAGUCUUGUGAUCACUUGUGCUUCAAGAACCCUUUUCGUACGUUUAUUUGGGUAGAGGUGCUUGUUUGGAGCCAGUCCACCCAUCAGAUAUCUUAUUGGGAUAUGGAGCCAGUUUGGAUAUAUCACAUCAGUCCUGAGAAAUGUUUGCAUUGUUGGGUUUGAAGGUUCACUUGGUGUGUAGCCAUCUAUCCCUGGUGGGAGAUGUAACAUGUAACAUCCCGCACAUUUUUUAGUAACAAUGUAAUUUCAGUAACUUUAUUAUUUGAAAUUUCAAUAAUCGUUAUUAGUUAGAGGACAUUUUUAGAAUUUUGGACUUCAAGUGUAA